UACGUAGGGGGCAAGCGUUGUCCGGAUUAUUGGGCGUAAAUAGCGUGUAGGCGGUUUGGUAGGUCCGUUGUGAAAACUCGAGGCUCAACCUCGAGACGCCGAUGGAAACCAUCAGACUAGAGUCCGGAAGAGGAGAGUGGAAUUCCUGGUGUAGCGGUGAAAUGCGCAGAUAUCAGGAGGAACACCAAUGGCGAAGGCAGCACUCUGGGACGGUACUGACGCUGAGACGCGAAAGCGUGGGGAGCAAACAGG
rnacentral:rRNA from 1 species